GAUGAAGAACGUAGCGAAAUGCGAUAAGUAAUGUGAAUUGCAGAAUUCAGUGAAUCAUCGAAUCUUUGAACGCACAUUGCGCCCGCCAGUAUUCUGGCGGGCAUGCCUGUUCGAGCGUCAUUUCAACCAUCAAGCCCUGCUUGCGUUGGGGUCCUGCGGCUGCCCGCAGGCCCUGAAAACCAGUGGCGGGCUCGCUAGUCACACCGAGCGCAGUAAUACAUCUCGCUUUGGGCGUGCGGCGGGUUCUUGCCGUUAAACACCCCCUUUUUACCAAGGUUGACCUCGGAUCAGGUAGGGAUACCCGCUGAACUUAAGCAUAUCAAUAAGCGGAGGA
rnacentral:misc_RNA from 1 species